ACAAUAACAUUUUUUAAGUGGUCUAAGUGAUUUAUAUAUCAUGUUUAACCUGAGUAGUGAAAGACUGCAGGGGUCUGAAAACGAUGUGCAGGUGUUCUGGGAAUUUCUCCUACCCCGCAAACCGUCCUACCCGUUGUUCCUGAGCAUGUGCGCGCAUGCGCACAACACAUAAAGUGAAGCAAAGCGCAUCCGGCUGUGAUUUAAUGCUACUCCGUUGUCAUAUUUGCAGGAAAAUAGCUUCGGUGAAGUCUGCUGUCAAGUUACUGGACACGUGGUAUUUGCACAACACUUCUGAAUCCGCAGCUUCGGUGUUUUAAGGCUGUUUCGAUAUGGAGAAGAAGUGGGAAGAGAUUUACGCGUUUAUUUCUGCGGGCUCCUACCCUUCAGGAUAUGACAAGGCUCAGAGGCAAAACCUCAGAAGAUAUGCCUCAAAAUUCCAACAAAAGGAUGGAGAACUCUUUGUUGGAACCAGAAAAGUAGUAAAAACCAUGGAUGAUGCCAGGAAGAUAUUUCAUGAGUUUCAUUCAUCUCCAAUUGGAGGACACACUGGCACACACAAAACGCUAAAUGCAGUGUGUUCCAGAUUUUACUGGUUUGGUAUGACAGUUGACAUUAAAACAUGGAUUCUGGAAUGUGACCAGUGUCAAAAAGUUGGGAAACCACUGACUGCUGUGCAACCGUUGCAGUGUAUUCAGAGCCCUCCGAAAACUGGUGAAUGACCAGCAGAAUAACUGGGAUCUGUAUCUAGAUCCCACCCUGUUUUCACUGCGGUCAAAAGUACAUACCACAACAAAAUACUCACCUUUUUUUCUGAUGUAUGGAAGAGAGGCAGUAUUUCCAUCAGAAGUGCCUGCUCAAGUGCCGAUUUCCAACAUCAUUCUGCCAGACGACAAAAGGUACAGUGAUUAUGUACAGUCUGAAAGUGAAGCACAACAUGCAGUUAAAGAAACUGCACAAGAAAACAUUGCGAAGUCACAAGACAAGCAAAAGGUUGCAUACGCCAAGCGGGUCCUGAAAAAGUACAAAAAUGUUGUGUACAAUGUAGGCGAUCAAAUUCUGCUUCUAAAUAUGAGGAAACGUGGGCGAAAAGGAGGAAGACUUGAACCGGAUUUUUCAGGUCGCUACACAAUUGAUGACAUCAGUGGAAAAUGUGUUAGACUGAAAAACGCUGAGGGAAAUACUUUAAAAAGUCUAUACAGUAUUGACCACAUUAAACCUUAUAGAACAAGCCACCCUGUCCAAGUCUCAACUCCAACUGAACCUGUUGAGAGUAGCCCAUCUUCUGAGAUGCAGCCUUGCAGUCCUCAGCAUCAUCCUGAAGCGCUGCAAAAUAACAGACCCUCUGUCAUACAGUUUGCACCAAAAAUAGCUCAGGUAACAUCAGUCCAAGCACCAGAAGAGCUUGUACCAGUGACCCCCCAGAAACCCAGCACGCAAGAAAAAGUGAAGUGGCUUUGGGCUGCAAAAGACACCGGGCGUGUGGAGGCAGUCGUUGGGCCAUGCAAAUUGUAUGACUCUUCUUUUCGCACACUGGAGGACAGUGGGUGGCUUUCUGAUGAGGUCAUUGAUGCAUACCUGCACUGCCUCAUUAGGAAACAAAAGGAACCCGUGUAUCAGUUGUCUUGCGUUGUUGCAACCUCUCUGUUUUCUGGGAAGUUUAAAUGUGUCAGCAAGAUGUUGUUUCCGGCUGAGGACAUUUGGUUGUGCCCACUGAACUUCGGUGCACACUGGAUCCUUGUGGUUGUCAAAAUCUCCUCACGAUCUGUACUGCUGUUAGACCCUCUUGGAAAUGAAGGUUGUUAUGAAAGGAAAAUUAUGCGUAACUGGAGGAAUUUUCUGAAGAUGAAAGGAAAGGAAGAGUCCCGAGUGGAUUGGAAAAUGGAGACUCUGCCACACAGCAAGCAGAUGGACUCCAGCAGUUGUGGAGUUUUAGUGUUGAAGUUUGCCGAACACUACCUUAUGAGUGGAGAGGUUACUAGGGUGCUGUCCACUCCAGAAGCCAUUGGGCUGCAACGCACAGAAAUUGCUUGCGAACUGCUAGAACAUCAAAGUAAUGCUGAUGACUACUGUGUGGUUUGUUCCAUGCUGGAAGCCGAUCCUGAGUCCAGUAUGAUUGAAAUGGUGCAGUGUGAGUUUUGUCUCAGAUGGGCACAUUUUGGAUGUGCUCAAUAUGAGAGCAGCCUGGUCAAGUACUUGUGCGACAAAUGUGCAUAAUUGUUAUGAAUACUGUUUCUUUUCCACUUCUUUCUCCCUGUGUUCUGUUGGAUCUGUAAAUAUCAAAUAUACAUAUCUGUAAAUAUAUGCUGUCAGUCACAGUAAAGUACAAAGAGCAGCCUGGUCAAGUACUUGUGU